rnacentral:rRNA from 1 species
AGUGAACGCUGGCGGUAGGCCUAACACAUGCAAGUCGAACGAGUGGCGGACGGGUGAGGAAUACAUCGGACUCUACUCUGUCGUGGGGGAUAACGCAGGGAAAGUUACGCUAAUACCGCAUACGAUUGUAUGCGCCGAUGUGGGAUUAGCUAGUUGGGGGGGUAAAGGCCCACCAAGGCGACGAUCCGUAGCUGGUCUGAGAGGAUGAUCAGCCACACUGGAACUGAGACACGGUCCAGACUCCUACGGGAGGCAGCAGUGGGGAAUAUUGGACAAUGGGCGCAAGCCUGAUCCAGCCAUGCCGCGUGGGUGAAGAAGGCCUUCGGGUUGUAAAGCCCUUUAGUUGGGAAAGCGGUACCCAAAGAAUAAGCACCGGCUAACUUCGUGCCAGCAGCCGCGGUAAUAC